rnacentral:lncRNA from 1 species
CCUGUCUCUUUGCCACGUGAGAGACCACCACAGCCCCAAGGCAUCAGCUAUGAGCUAGAAAGAAGCCCUUGCUGAGAAACUAUAUGCACAGUGCAUUGGUAUUAGACUUCCAAGCCUCCGGAGUGGAUUUCCACGAGCCAAGAAAAGCAGCUAUGUUCGAAGGGACGAAGCAUUGGCUAAGGUGCUUAAUAAUAAUGGUCUGUCUGAAGAAUCAAGGGGAUAUUGCAAAGUUGCAGAACCUUGCUGAAGAAAGAGGGCCGGUGUGGUGUGGAAUCUGAACUUUGAUGACAGGGAUCGACUGCCUAACUUCUGCUUUCUGACGACAAGCGGUGAUAGGACACGGUCACCUCAGGCUCUUUCUGCUGUACUCUAUGUGUCAGGGAAGACAGUCUCUGUGCUCAAACUGGAAGCUCACACGAGGCCAUUUGUUACUUAUCAGUUUGGCAUUCAGUCAAACACAUGGGAAGUCAUACAGGUUGGAAGUUCUGGCCUCAUGGAACCACCGUAAAAGCCCUAAAUGAAGGCGUCUGGAGUUCUUGAAUGGGAGCUACUGCCUGGCUAUUAUGGUAUAUAACAUACCCAACAGAUGAAAACCAGCUCAAUAUAAGAGAGGGAGUCCUGUGCCCUUCCACUGCAUUCUUCCCACACAGUCUGUGAGGCUGAAGACAGCUGAAGG